rnacentral:rRNA from 1 species
AUUGAACGCUGGCGGCAUGCCUUACACAUGAAAGUCGAACGGUAACAGGCCGCAAGGUGCUGACGAGUGGCGAACGGGUGAGUAAUGCAUCGGAGCGUGCCCAGUCGUGGGGGAUAACUGCUCGAAAGAGCAGCUAAUACCGCAUACGACCUGAGGGUGAAAGCGGGGGAGCGUAAGGCCUCGCGCGAUUGGAGCGGCAGAUGGCAGAUUAGCAAGUUGUUUGGGUAAAGGCCUACCAAGGCAACGAUCUGUAGUUGGUCUGGGAGGACGACCAGCCACACUGGCACUGAGACACGGCCCAGACUCCUACGGGAGGCAGCAGUGGGGAAUUUUGGACAAUGGGCGCAAGCCUGAUCCAACAAUGCCGCGUGCAGGAAGAAGGCCUUCGGGUUGUAAACUGCUUUUGUCAGGGAAGAAAUCUUCUGGGCUAAUACCCCGGGAGGAUGACGGUACCUGAAGAAUAAGCACCGGCUAACUACGUGCCAGCCGCCGCCGUAAUAC